AACGAACGCUGGCGGCAGGCUUAACACAUGCAAGUCGAGCGCCCCGCAAGGGGAGCGGCAGACGGGUGAGUAACGCGUGGGAAUCUACCCAUCUCUACGGAAUAACGCAUGGAAACGUGUGCUAAUACCGUAUACGUCCUUCGGGAGAAAGAUUUAUCGGAGAUGGAUGGGCCCGCGUUGGAUUAGCUAGUUGGUGGGGUAAAGGCCUACCAAGGCGACGAUCCAUAGCUGGUCUGAGAGGAUGAUCAGCCACACUGGGACUGAGACACGGCCCAGACUCCUACGGGAGGCAGCAGUGGGGAAUAUUGGACAAUGGGCGCAAGCCUGAUCCAGCCAUGCCGCGUGAGUGAUGAAGGCCCUAGGGUUGUAAAGCUCUUUCACCUGUGAAGAUAAUGACGGUAACCGGAGAAGAAGCCCCGGCUAACUUCGUGCCAGCCGCCGCGGUAAGAC
rnacentral:rRNA from 1 species